CCUACGGGUGGCAGCAGUGGGGAAUAUUGGGCAAUGGGCGCAAGCCUGACCCAGCAACGCCGCGUGAAGGAAGAAGGCUUUCGGGUUGUAAACUUCUUUUGUCAGGGAAGAGUAGAAGACGGUACCUGACGACUAAGCCACGGCUAACUACGUGCCAGCAGCCGCGGUAAUACGAAGGUGGCAAGCGUUGUCCGGAUUUACUGGGUGUAAAGGGCGUGUAGCCGGGUUGACAAGUCAGAUGUGAAAUCCAUGGGCUUAACCCGUGAACUACUUUUGAAACUGUAGGGCUUGAGUGAAGUAGAGGCAGGCGGAAUGCCCGGUGUAGCGGUGAAAUGCGGAGAGAUCGGGAGGAACACCAGUGGCGAAGGCGGCCUGCUGGGCUUUAACUGACGCUGAAGCACGAAAGCGUGGGUAGCAAACAGGAUUAGAUACCCCGGUAGUC
rnacentral:rRNA from 1 species